GGAUUAGAUACCCUGGUAGUCCACGCCGUAAACGAUGUCUACUAGCCGUUGGGGUACUUGAGACCUUAGUGGCGCAGUUAACGCGAUAAGUAGACCGCCUGGGGAGUACGGCCGCAAGGUUAAAACUCAAAUGAAUUGACGGGGGCCCGCACAAGCGGUGGAGCAUGUGGUUUAAUUCGAUGCAACGCGAAGAACCUUACCAGGUCUUGACAUCCUCGGAACUUUCCAGAGAUGGAUCGGUGCCUUCGGGAGCCGAGUGACAGGUGCUGCAUGGCUGUCGUCAGCUCGUGCCG
rnacentral:rRNA from 1 species